AGAUUGAACGCUGGCGGCAGGCCUAACACAUGCAAGUCGAGCGGUAGAGAGGUGCUUGCAUCUCUUGAGAGCGGCGGACGGGUGAGUAAUGCCUAGGAAUCUGCCUAGUGGUGGGGAUAACGUUCGGAAACGGACGCUAAUACCGCAUACGUCCUACGGGAGAAAGCGGGGGACCUUCGGGCCUCGCGCCAUUAGAUGAGCCUAGGUCGGAUUAGCUAGUUGGUGAGGUAAUGGCUCACCAAGGCGACGAUCCGUAACUGGUCUGAGAGGAAUGAUCAGUCACACUGGAACUG
rnacentral:rRNA from 1 species